GGUGCUGUGCUCUGCAGAGGAUUAAUCUGCUCUCCUGCAUAGCCGGCUUGCUGUCAGGAGGCGGGGCCGGGUUGGAAGAGGGGUCACUGGGGCAUGGCCUGGAAGCUACAUCUCCCUCCUCAGGUCCUCCCUUCUCUCUGCUUCCUGGGCGCUGAGACAUGAGCGGCUUCCUCCACCCAGGCCUCCACCGUGGCAUUCCCGCGUUUGAGCCUCUCAACCACCGGCUGAAACUUCUGAAUCCAUGAGCCAAAUGCAAUAAUGGUCGGCCAUGCACCAAGCACCCAGAUUGGCCUGUGAUUCCUGGCUCUCGACACACAGCCACGCUCCUGUUUGAGCCAAAGCCUGAGCACCUAUCAGUCAUCCCUAAAGACCACAGUUUGUCUGUCUGCAAGACGAAGAGUUCUGGAAAUGUGACCAACACACCCUCUCAUCUCAGAUUUCAUCAGAAAUUCCUGGGUACUAGCAAGUAUCUAGUUAGGGUUGCGAUUUAGGUGAUUAUCUCAUAAACCCCUGCACAGUAGGUUUGUAUGAAUUGAUGGCAUAAAAAUUGAAGAAUGGGGAUGGAGAGAGAGAGAAUAAAAACUAUUGUCUAAGACAGAAAUUCUUCUAACAGGGCUAAGCUGUCCCCUAAACAUCAUAUUGGGAACUCAUGCACUAGAGGAAACAGGUUUCCAGACCUUAACAGUGCUUUCUGAGGGUUGAGAAAUAUCAGACUAGCCAGGUUGUCAUCUGCCAUUGACAUUCCAAUGGAUUUGUGAAAUUUUGAACCACCCUGACUUGAGCACCCAUUUUCCAGCUGCUGGGUUCACCUCACUCUUGCUUAUGUUCCCCUCAAAACCAAAAUGCCCUUUGUCAUAAAAGCCUCAUCCUAUUUAACCUUCACAAGGCUCCUGCUGGGUUUCUGCAUUAAGCACAUGUUCCUAAUUUACAAAUCAUUUUUGCAGCCAAAUAAAACGGUCUCUAUUUUGGCA